UAGGGAAUCUUCGGCAAUGGACGAAAGUCUGACCGAGCAACGCCGCGUGAGUGAAGAAGGUUUUCGGAUCGUAAAACUCUGUUGUUAGAGAAGAACAAGGACGUUAGUAACUGAACGUCCCCUGACAGUAUCUAACCAGAAAGCCACGGCUAACUACGUGCCAGCAGCCGCGGUAAUACGUAGGUGGCAAGCGUUGUCCGGAUUUUUUGGGCGUAAAGCGAGCGCAGGCGGUUUCUUAAGUCUGAUGUGAAAGCCCCCGGCUCAACCGGGGAGGGUCAUUGGAAACUGGGAGACUUGAGUGCAGAAGAGGAGAGUGGAAUUCCAUGUGUAGCGGUGAAAUGCGUAGAUAUAUGGAGGAACACCAGUGGCGAAGGCGGCCCCCUGGACAAAGACUGACGCUCAGGUGCGAAAGCGUGGGGAGCAAACAGG
rnacentral:rRNA from 1 species